GCGAAAACUUUACAAUGCUGGAAACAGCGAUAAGGUGACCUCGAGUGCCAGGUUACAUAUCUGGCUGUCGUGAUGCCUAAAAAGCAUUACAUAGCAAGGGCCGGGCAAGACCGGUGCCAGCCGCCGCGGUAACACCGGCGGCUCGAGUGGUAACCGUUAUUAUUGGGUCUAAAGGGUCUGUAGCCGGCCGGAUAAGUCUCUUGGGAAAUCUGGCAGCUUAACUGUCGGGCUUUCAGGAGAUACUGUCUGGCUCGAGGCCGGGAGAGGUGAGAGGUACUUCAGGGGUAGGGGUGAAAUCUUGUAAUCCUUGAAGGACCAUCAGUGGCGAAGGCGUCACACCAGAACGGACCAGACGGCAAGGGACGAAAGCUAGGGCCAGGAACC
rnacentral:rRNA from 1 species